CCGAGUUAUACAACUCCUCAAACCCCUGUGAACAUACCUAAACUUGUUGCCUCGGCGGGAAUCAGCCCGGCUCCCUGUAAAACGGGACGGCCCCCGCCAGAGGACCCCUAAACUCUGUUUUCUAUAAUGUACUUUCUGAGUAAAACCAGCAAAUAAAUCA
rnacentral:misc_RNA from 1 species